GAUGAACGCUGGCGGCGUGCUUAACACAUGCAAGUCGAACGGAAAGGCCACAGCUUGCUGUGGUGCUCGAGUGGCGAACGGGUGAGUAACACGUGGGUGAUCUGCCCUGUACUUCGGGAUAAGCUUGGGAAACUGGGUCUAAUACCGGAUAGGAAUCACAUGUGGGUGUGUGGUUGGAAAGCUUUUGCGGUAUGGGAUGAGCUCGCGGCCUAUCAGCUUGUUGGUGGGGUAAUGGCCUACCAAGGCGUCGACGGGUAGCCGGCCUGAGAGGGUGUACGGCCACAUUGGGACUGAGAUACGGCCCAGACUCCUACGGGAGGCAGCAGUGGGGAAUAUUGCACAAUGGGCGCAAGCCUGAUGCAGCGACGCCGCGUGGGGGAUGACGGCCUUCGGGUUGUAAACUCCUUUCGUCAGGGACGAAGCGAAAGUGACGGUACCUGGAUAAGAAGCACCGGCUAACUACGUG
rnacentral:rRNA from 1 species